GUCCCUGUAGCGCAAUGGAUAGCGCGUUGGAUUACUGAUCCAAAUUUCGUGGGUUCGAAUCCCUCCUGGGAUG